rnacentral:rRNA from 1 species
GGAAUAUUGGACAAUGGCUGCAAAGCUGAUCCAGCCAUCCCGCGUGAAGGCAGAAGGUCCUAUGGAUUGUAAACUUCUUUUCUCUGGGAAGAAAAUGUCCCGUUCUCGGGAAGCUGACGGUACCAAAGGAAUAAGCACCAGCUAACUCCGGUCCAGCAGCCGCGGUAAUACGGAGGGUGCAAGCGUUCUCCGGAUUCACUGGGUUUAAAGGGUGCGUAGGCGGAUUCAUAAGUCAGUGGUGAAAGCCCGGGGCUCAACUCCGGAACUGCCGUUGAUACUGUGAGUCUCGAGUACAGUUGAGGUAGGCGGAAUACAUCAUGUAGAGGUGAAAUUCUUAGAUAUGAUGUAGAACACCGAUUGCGAAGGCAGCUCGCUAAAUUGUAACUGACGCUGAGGCACGAAAGCGUGGGGAUCAAAC